CACGAUCAGGAUUCUUGUCUUGUGAAUGUAGUUUUUGGCAGUGGUGAUUAAGUCUUUGGUUUGUUUUGCUUUGGCAGGCCUCAUGAAAUCCUUGAUUUGCUUCUGAUUCUGGCAACUGAUGAAUCACGCAGUCAUCUACAAGGGCAUAUUAAGGUCAUCUGACUGGUAGGCCAUUUUGGGUUUCAUUUGUUGAGACCAAUAUUCUGGUUAAUCGGCUCUUGCAAACAUAAAUGUAAAAGGCAGAUUGGGGCCUGUAACUGGGGUAUAUUGCUUCUUAAUUUCCGAGUCUGUCACCCCUGUAGCAAUGUUUUGCUGUUUUAUCUCCAAAGAAGAUGGUUCAUGAA
rnacentral:lncRNA from 1 species